GGCGGACGGGUGAGUAACACGUAAGGAACCUGCCUCAAGGAUUGGGAUAACUCCGAGAAAUCGGAGCUAAUACCGGAUAGUUCAUCGGACCGCAUGGUCCGUUGAUGAAAGGCGCUUCGGCGUCACCUUGAGAUGGCCUUGCGGUGCAUUAGCUAGUUGGUGGGGUAACGGCCCACCAAGGCGACGAUGCAUAGCCGACCUGAGAGGGUGAUCGGCCACACUGGGACUGAGACACGGCCCAG
rnacentral:rRNA from 1 species